AGAGAGAGAAAAAAUAUGCCAUAAAAGUGACCGGGUUUCGAUGCCAGUGACCGCCGAUAGAAUGAAUGUGUCGCUGCCUGCGCAGGGGCGAGGCCACAGGCCAGGCGCCAAGAGGAAAGCUGCAGGAGGAAGUGUUUGUUCCCAUGGUUCCGCGGUGCGUUCAGAGCACUGUGUACAAACAAAAUGCAAAAGCCAUCACCUCUGGAAACUUACCCCAAGUGUGUGGACAUGUGAGAGUGGCUUGCCACAGUCCCGCUCACUACACAAAUCAGGAAAAGCACACAACCCAGAGUUUGGAUUGUGCUGUGAAGCCAGACAAAUCCAUCACGUGUUGGCUGUGUGACCUUAGACAUCUCACUAAACCUCUCUGAAUCUUAACGUCCUCGUCUGUCUCCUGAUAAUCACAUUUGGUGCUGAAGCCUGAAGGCAAUGCUCCCUAUCAGUGAUAUAAAAUAGUAAUACCAAUGGUCUUUAUGGGAACCCUUCUCUCCUCUCCUAUUUGAUACAAAUCUAUGAUCAUCACUGGCAAAGAUCAGGAUGGUGAGCCACAUCAGUCACUCUGCCCAAGAACAGCCAAGUAAUAAUACCAUUAAACUGGGGCAGUUGGGCCCAAAAGAGCUGCUCAUUUCUCUGCAGUGGAUCCCAUUCUUUGCUAUAUCCUAACAACAGAUUCAUUUAGAAAUGAACCCAAAUGCUCCUCUCCAGUGAAAGCAAUUCCGCGGUGACAUGAAUUUUGUUUACAAAUUAACGUAAAGCACCCGGCUGGUGAUUGUUUGGAGCAGUUAUGAUUUACAACAGGUGCCCUGAUCAAUCAACCAAUCACUCUAAUUCAUGUGAGCGGCGGUCUUGCCUUGCCCCAGUUGUUUCAUUUCGGCAAGUAAUUGAUAACAAACCGCACUCAAGCGUCAUCUGCACCUUAGGAAGAGGCGGGGCUCGGUAGAACCAGAGGCUGGGAGCCAGGAACAGUGAACGGUCAGCUUCCCAGUUCCCUGGCAGUCUCCCUCCCUUGGACUUCUACAUGGCUGAUGCCCGUUUUCUUUCUGCAGGCCCCUGGGCAGGAGACUCUCCCUGCUGGCUUGCCCUAAACCUUAGCUUCUUCCAUGGGGGUCUGAAGCCCCUCAAGCACCUCUCCAGUGAUCACCAGGCCAGGGGACUUAUUGAAACAUGCAAUGUUUCUGGCAUGAAAAAGGAUGCUUCCAUUCUUCCUUUUUAAUAAAGACUCUGUCUCACUCUAUAA